rnacentral:miRNA from 1 species
GCAAGCGGAAUCCAGGACGA